rnacentral:rRNA from 1 species
GAUGAACGCUAGCGGGAGGCCUAACACAUGCAAGCCGAGCGGUAUUUGUUCUUCGGAACAGAGAGAGCGGCGCACGGGUGCGGAACACGUGUGCAACCUGCCUUUAUCUGGGGGAUAGCCUUUCGAAAGGAAGAUUAAUACCCCAUAAUAUAUUGAGUGGCAUCACUUGAUAUUGAAAACUCCGGUGGAUAGAGAUGGGCACGCGCAAGAUUAGAUAGUUGGUGAGGUAACGGCUCACCAAGUCAAUGAUCUUUAGGGGGCCUGAGAGGGUGAUCCCCCACACUGGUACUGAGACACGGACCAGACUCCUACGGGAGGCAGCAGUGAGGAAUAUUGGACAAUGGGUUAGCGCCUGAUCCGGCCAUCCCGCGUGAAGGACGACGGCCCUAUGGGUUGUAAACUUCUUUUGUAUAGGGAUAAACCUACUCUCGUGAGAGUAGCUGAAGGUACUAUACGAAUAAGCACCGGCUAACUCCGUG